GUCCACGCCGUAAACGAUGUCUACUAGCCGUUGUGAGACUUGAUUUCUUAGUGGCGCAGCUAACGCAAUAAGUAGACCGCCUUGGGAGUACGGCCGCAAGGUUAAACUCAAAUGAAUUGACGGGGCCGCACAAGCGGUGGAGCAUGUGGUUAAUUCGAUGCAACGCGAAGAACCUUACCAGGUCUUGACAUCCAGAGAACUUUCCAGAGAUGGAUUGGUGCCUUCGGAGCUCUGAGACAGGUGCUGCAUGGCUGUCGU
rnacentral:rRNA from 1 species